AAUUUUGGACAAUGGGCGAAAGCCUGAUGGAGCAACGCCGCGUGAGUGAAGAAGGUUUUCGGAUCGUAAAACUCUGAUGUAAGGGAAGAACAAGUACAGUAGUAACUGGCUGUACCUUGACGGUAUCUUAUUAAAAAGCCACGGCUAACUACGUGCCCUCAACCGCGGUAAUAAGUAGGUGGCAAGCGUUGUCCGGAAUUAUUGGGCGUAAAGCGCGCGCAGGCGGUCCUUUAAGUCUGAUGUGAAAGACCACGGCUCAACCGUGGAGGGUCAUUGGAAACUGGGGGACUUGAGUGCAGAAGAGGAAAGUGGAAUUCCAAGUGUAGCGGUGAAAUGCGUAGAGAUUUGGAGGAACACCAGUGGCGAAGGCGACUUUCUGGUCUGUAACUGACGCUGAGGCGCGAAAGCGUGGGGAGCAAACAGG
rnacentral:rRNA from 1 species